AGAGUUUGAUCCUGGCUCAGGAUGAACGCUGACAGAAUGCUUAACACAUGCAAGUCUACUUGAAAAUUCCUUCGGGGAUGAUUAGGGUGGCGAACGGGUGAGUAACGCGUAAAGAACUUGCCCUUCAGCUGGGGACAACAUUGGGAAACCGAUGCUAAUACCCGAUACGAUUACUUUAUGGCAUCAUAAGGUAAUGAAAGCUAUAUGCGCUGAAGGAGAGCUUUGCGUCCUAUUAGCUAGUUGGUGAGGUAAUGGCUCACCAAGGCGACGAUAGGUAGCCGGCCUGAGAGGGUGAACGGCCACAAGGGAACUGAGACACGGUCCUUACUCCUACGGGAGGCAGCAGUGGGGAAUAUUUGACAAUGGGCUAACCGCCUGAUCCAGCAAUUCUGUGUGGGUGAAGAAGGUUUUCGGAUUGUAAAACCCUUUCAACAGGGAAGAAGAAAGUGACGGUACCUGUAGAAGAAGCAACGGCUAAUUACGUGCCAGCAGCCGCGGUAAGACGUAAGUUGCAAGCGUUAUCCGGAAUUACUGGGCAUAAAGGGCAUCUAGGCGGUUUAAUAAGUCAGAGGUGAAAAGUCAGGGCUCAACCUUGGCCUUGCCUUUGAAACUGUUAGACUAGAGUAUGGGAGAGGAGGGCGGAACUACAAGUGUAGGGGUGAAAUCCGUAGAUAUUUGUAGGAAUGCCGAUGACGAAGGUAGCUCUCUGGACCAAAACUGACGCUGAAGUGCGAAAGCUAGGGUAGCAAACGGGAUUAGAUACCCCGGUAGUCCUAGCUGUAAACGAUGAUUACUGGGUGUGGGCUGUCAAAGGUCUGUGCCGAAGCAAAUGCGAUAAGUAAUCCGCCUGGGGAGUACGACCGCAAGGUUGAAACUCAAAGGAAUUGACGGGGACCCGCACAAGCGGUGGAGCAUGUGGUUUAAUUCGACGCAACGCGAGGAACCUUACCAGGUCUUGACAUCCAUUGAAUCUUUUAGAGAUAGAAGAGUGCCUUCGGGAACAAUGAGACAGGUGGUGCAUGGCUGUCGUCAGCUCGUGUCGUGAGAUGUUGGGUUAAGUCCCGCAACGAGCGCAACCCCUAUUGUAUGUUGCUAACAUUAAGUUGAGGACUCAUACGAGACUGCCUGCGACGAGCAGGAGGAAGGUGGGGAUGACGUCAAGUCAUCAUGCCCCUUAUGACCUGGGCUACACACGUGCUACAAUGGGUAUUACAGAGAGAAGCGAAGCAGUGAUGUGGAGCCAAACUCAGAAAGAUAUUCGUAGUUCGGAUUGAAGUCUGCAACUCGACUUCAUGAAGUUGGAAUCGCUAGUAAUCGCGAAUCAGCAAUGUCGCGGUGAAUACGUUCUCGGGUCUUGUACACACCGCCCGUCACACCACGAGAGUUUGUUGCACCUGAAGUAACUGGCCUAACCGUAAGGAGGGAGGUUCCUAAGGUGUGAUGAGCGAUU
rnacentral:rRNA from 1 species